UAUAUAUAGCUAGACUGGAAUAUAUCUGUAUCACGGAGGUCUCCGUGCAAUCAAAUUAUUUUCAAUGAUGUACCUUCCAAAUUGACGAUCAGUUCUGUUAAACUUGAUCUACAUUAUUUAAAAUAUUUGAAAACUAAAUUUUAUAAUUUUUCGAUAUUAUUUACUUUUUAAACGAGUAGUCUAAAUAUGAAUGAUCGAAAAUAAAAAUUUCAUAAAAAAUAAUGAUAAAAGACUUGAAUUUAAUAUCAGAAGUACUAAUCUUACUCUAAAUAUUGAAAAGAAUUUUUAAUAAAAAAUUCAUCAGAUUUGAAUUGUUUUAUAUCGUUAAAUUCACAAAUGCAUCACAUCGACUAUUAAAAUUGUCAAAUUUAAAACCUUUUGAUAACUAGCCAAAUAAUAUUGGAAAAUUAUAAGAUGUAGUUUUCAAAUACUUUUAAUAGUAUAGAUCAAGUCUAAUGAAACCGAUCGUCGAUUUGGAAGCCGUAUCAUUGAAAAUAACUUGGUAGCACGAAAGCUUCCGUGCUACCGGUAGUAUACCAGCCUAGCUCUCUUUCUCUCUUUCUAUAUAUAUAGAGAGAGAGAGAGUUGAUCUAGAAUACUCUCAAAAGCACUAAGAUAUUGGUGCUUUUGAGUUUUUAAUCCUUAGAUGUAGAAAUGUAGGGUUGGGAUAACGGUGAUAGGUGGUGGUAGGUGUAAUAGUAUUUGAUCCAAGAGAUAUUAGUAAUUAAGGAGUAGAUUCAAGGAUUAGAAACUUAGAAACGCCAAAGGAUUAGUGCUUCUAAAAAUAAUCUACCUCAAUUAUAUAUAUAUAUAUAUAUAUAUAUAUAUAUAGGCUAGAGCUGCUAUCCUAUUAAUAGGAUUGGAGCACUUGUCCUAUCAAAUUGUUCUUGAUGAUAAAGAUUCUGAAUCAAUGAUCGGAACCGUUGAAGUUGAUCUAGAGUAUUUGAAAUAUAUAGAAACUAAAUUUUAGAAUUUUUAAAAAUUAUUUAUAUGGUGAUCAAAGUGUCGUAAAAUCGAUAAUUUUUUACGGCCUAAAUGAGCCGUUUGCUUGU
rnacentral:lncRNA from 1 species